rnacentral:rRNA from 1 species
CCUACGGGUGGCAGCAGUGGGGAAUAUUGGGCAAUGGGCGCAAGCCUUACCCAGCAAUACCGCGUGAGUGAAGAAGGUCUUCGGAUUGUAAAGCUCUUUGAUCAGGGACGAACAGAUGACGGUACCUGAAGAACAAGCCCCGGCUAACUACGUGCCAGCAGCCGCGGUAAAACGUAGGGGGCGAGCGUUGUCCCGAAUGACUGGGCGUAAAGGGUGCGUAGGAGGGAUAAUAAGUUAGAAGGGAAAUAUCCAGAGCUUAACCCGGGUGCUGCUUCUAAGACUGGUGAGCUUGAGUUCGGGAGAGGUUAAUGGAAUUCCUAGUGUAGCGGUGAAAUGCUUAGAUAUCACGAAGAACUCCGAUUGCGAAGGCAGCUUGCUGGACUGUAACUGACGCUGAUGCUCGAAAGUGUGGGUAUCAAACAGGAUUAGAUACCCGAGUAGUC